GGGACGCUGCCUUGGGAGGAGCGGGCAGCAAUUCCGGAAGCCCCUAGGUUCAGCCGCCCUCUGAGACGAAGGGCGCUGUACGCCUUACAGGGUGGUCGCGGGGCAUGCUGGGAGUUGCAGUUCCAUGUUGAAUUAGAGUUUCGCAAGUAAAGGGCUUGCAAAGUCCAAGGUUUUCAGGCCACCCUUGGUAAUCAACGGGCCACAGGUGAGCCGUUAUCGGCUAACGUUAAGGACCGUUACCAUUCCUGGGUUUGCUCUCGGCUGCCUUCCCUACUCCAGCCUUUAAGGAGACCUGGGUCUUUGGAAAUCUAAAACCGGGAGGCAGUGCAUUGAGAUGAAAAGACUGUUCCAGAAAAGUUGGUACAUUGUUUGUAGGCGGCAAAAUCUGUCUAUAAAUGUGUAUCUGCCUACUCUGUGCCCUCUGUAAGGCUUCACCAUCACACCAGUCACACUGUUGGAUCCAGGCAACUGCCAAGGAAGAAUCAAUUAUAGCCAGACAUGGUUUAUGGUCAAGAAAGAAGGAAGAUGUGGGUUUCUGAGGGUCCUGCCAUUCUUGGAGUUCACAGCUAAGGUCUCCAGCAGAAGGUGUGGAUCUGGGAUUUGCUUGUCCCAG